rnacentral:lncRNA from 1 species
CAAAGCCUAUACAUCAACAAAGAUAGGACUUGAGGGAUCCAUAAACUAGCAGCUCUAUGUUCUCACUCAGAUCUUCUAUUGGACUUUAAGGAGCUCUACUUCAUCCCACUUCCAUACAAAAAUACAAAUCUUGACACUACAAAGUACAAAACCUAACCCUAAAUCCACCUAGAGGUUUUUGCAAAGAAAACAAUACUUGAAAACAAAGGGAAACCCAUGAUUUUAUUUGGUUUUUGCAAGGAAAACAAAACUUGAGAGAAUACAAAGGGAAACCCAUGAAUCUAUUGCAAGAGAUGUGUGAGAAAAACACACCCUUUAAUUUUUUUGACCAGAGGCUUUGGUUGUAAACUGAAAACCCUAGAAAGAGAAAGAGGAAGGGUGAGAAAUAGUUAGGUAUGGAGUGAGAUGUGGAGGAUAUGAAA